rnacentral:rRNA from 1 species
AGCGAACGCUGGCGGCAGGCUUAACACAUGCAAGUCGAACGCGAAAGUCCUUCGGGAUGAGUAGAGUGGCGGACGGGUGAGCAACGCGUAGGAAUCUAUCCUGUAGGGGGGGAUAACGGUUCGAAAGGAACGCUAAGACCGCAUACGCCCCACGGGGGAAAGCGGGGGAUCUUCGGACCUCGUGCUAUCGGAGGAACCUGCGUCGGAUUAGCUAGUUGGUGAGGUAAAGGCUCACCAAGGCGACGAUCCGUAGCUGGGCUGAGAGGAUGAUCAGCCACACCGGAACUGAGACACGGUCCGGACUCCUACGGGAGGCAGCAGUGGGGAAUAUUGCGCAAUGGGCGAAAGCCUGACGCAGCCAUACCGCGUGUGUGAAGAAGGCCUUCGGGUUGUAAAGCACUUUCAGUGGGGAGGAAAAGCUGGUGGCUAAUAUCCAUCGGCCGUGACGCUACCCACAGAAGAAGCACCGGCUAAUUCCGUGCCAGCAGCCGCGGUAAAAC